rnacentral:rRNA from 1 species
UACGUAGGGUGCAGGCGUUAAUCGGAAUUACUGGGCGUAAAGGGCGCGUAGGCGGUCAGCACAAGUCAGUUGUGAAAUCUCCGGGCUUAACUCGGAAAGGUCAACUGAUACUGUGCGACUAGAGUGCAGAAGGGGCAACUGGAAUUCUCGGUGUAGCGGUGAAAUGCGUAGAUAUCGGGAGGAACACCAGUGGCGAAGGCGGUUGCCUGGGGCUGUGCUGACGCUGAUGCGCGAAAGCGUGGGGAGCGAUCCGG